rnacentral:tRNA from 1 species
GGUUUUAUAUUUUAUUUAAAAUAUUAAAUUGCAAAUUUAGAGAUACAUAUUUAUGUUAAAACUU